rnacentral:rRNA from 1 species
UACGGGGGGGGGCAAGCGUUUGUUCGGAAUUACUGGGCGUAAAGGGCUCGUAGGCGGCCAACUAAGUCCGACGUGAAAUCCCAAGGCUUAACCUUGGAACUGCGUCGGAUACUGGAUGGCUUGAAUUCGGGAGAGGGAUGCAGAAUUCCAGGUGUAGCGGUGAAAUGCGUAGAUAUCUGGAGGAACACCGGUGGCGAAGGCGGCAUCCUGGACCGACACUGACGCUGAGGAGCGAAAGCCAGGGGAGCAAACGGG